AUUCACUCCAAUGACCAUCCCUGAGAUCCUCUUAUAAAAAAACCCAGUCUUUCCUGACCAGACAAACCAUACCAUAUCCCACCAGAGAGUCCUAGGGGACUAGACAAGGAAAAAGAUAUGAGGCCGUAGGGUAUCUGUGUGUUCUCCCACUGACCACGCUUCCUUUAGGGACUCCUGACUACCUCCUCAAGUCACAGACACCAUGUUGCCUCCCAUGGCCCUGCCCAGCUUAUCUUGGAUGCUGCUUUCCUACUUCGUGCUCCUGUCUCACUUCAAGGUGAAGAACCCCAGAAGGAACUGCCCUCUGCGCGGAUCCGCUGUCCCAAAGGCUCCAAGGCCUAUGGCUCCCACUGCUAUGCCUUGUUUUUGACACCAAAAUCCUGGAUGGAUGCAGAUGGUUCAGAGCCUGAUGGAGAUGGAUGGGAGUGGACUGGCACUGAUGUGAUGAAUUACUUUGCAUGGGAGAAAAAUCCCUCCACCAUCUUAAACUCUGGCCACUGUGGGAGCCUGUCAAGAAGCACAGGAUUUCUGAAGUGGAAAGAUUAUAACUGUGAUGCAAAGUUACCCUAUGUCUGCAAGUUCAAGGACUAGGGCAGAUGGGAAGUCAGCAGCCUGAGCUUGGUGUGCAGCUCAUCAUGCACAUGAGACCAGUGUGAAGACUCACCCUGGAAGAGAAUAUUCUCCCCAAACUGCCUUACCUGACCACCUGGUCGUGAUCCUCCUUCUUUUUCCUUCUUACUCACCUUCAUUUCAGGCUCCUCUCUGUCUUCCAUGUCCUGAGAUCUCAGAGAAUAAUAAUAAAAAUGUUACUUUA